UACGGAGGGGGCUAGCGUUGUUCGGAAUUACUGGGCGUAAAGCGCACGUAGGCGGCUCAGUUAGUCGGGGGUGAAAUCCCGGGGCUCAACCCCGGAACUGCCUUCGAUACUGCUGGUCUGGAGUCCGAGAGAGGUGAGUGGAAUUCCGAGUGUAGAGGUGAAAUUCGUAGAUAUUCGGAGGAACACCAGUGGCGAAGGCGGCGCACUGGCUCGGUACUGACGCUGAGGUGCGAAAGCGUGGGGAGCAAACAGG
rnacentral:rRNA from 1 species